rnacentral:rRNA from 1 species
UACGGGGGGGGCAAGCGUUGUUCGGAAUUACUGGGCGUAAAGGGCUCGUAGGCGGCCAACUAAGUCAGACGUGAAAUCCCUCGGCUUAACCGGGGAACUGCGUCUGAUACUGGAUGGCUUGAGUUUGGGAGAGGGAUGCGGAAUUCCAGGUGCAGCGGUGAAAUGCGUAGAUAUCUGGAGGAACACCGGUGGCGAAGGCGGCAUCCUGGACCAACACUGACGCUGAGGAGCGAAAGCCAGGGGAGCAAACGGG